rnacentral:rRNA from 1 species
UACGUAGGGCGCAAGCGUUAUCCGGAAUUAUUGGGCGUAAAGAGCUCGUAGGCGGUUUGUCGCGUCUGCCGUGAAAGUCCGGGGCUCAACUCCGGAUCUGCGGUGGGUACGGGCAGACUAGAGUGAUGUAGGGGAGACUGGAAUUCCUGGUGUAGCGGUGAAAUGCGCAGAUAUCAGGAGGAACACCAAUGGCGAAGGCAGCUCGCUGGGACGGUACUGACGCUGAGGUGCGAAAGCGUGGGGAGCAAACAGG